AGAGCGAACGCUGGCGGCAGGCUUAACACAUGCAAGUCGAGCGGGCGGUAGCGAAUAACGGUCAGCGGCAGACGGGUGAGUAACGCGUGGGAACGUACCUUUUGGUUCGGAACAACACAGGGAAACUUGUGCUAAUACCGGAUAAGCCCUUACGGGGAAAGAUUUAUCGCCGAAAGAUCGGCCCGCGUCUGAUUAGCUAGUUGGUGAGGUAACGGCUCACCAAGGCGACGAUCAGUAGCUGGUCUGAGAGGAUGAUCAGCCACAUUGGGACUGAGACACGGCCCAAACUCCUACGGGAGGCAGCAGUGGGGAAUAUUGGACAAUGGGCGCAAGCCUGAUCCAGCCAUGCCGCGUGAGUGAUGAAGGCCCUAGGGUUGUAAAGCUCUUUUGUGCGGGAAGAUAAUGACGGUACCGCAAGAAUAAGCCCGGCUAACUUCGUGCCAGCAGCCGC
rnacentral:rRNA from 1 species